rnacentral:rRNA from 1 species
UACAGAGGGUGCAAGCGUUAAUCGGAAUUACUGGGCGUAAAGCGCGCGUAGGCGGCUGAUUAAGUCGGAUGUGAAAGCCCUGGGCUCAACCUAGGAACUGCAUUCGAUACUGAUCAGCUAGAGUAUGAGAGAGGGAGGUAGAAUUCCAUGUGUAGCGGUGAAAUGCGUAGAUAUGUGGAGGAAUACCGGUGGCGAAGGCGGCCUCCUGGCUUAAUACUGACGCUGAGGUGCGAAAGCGUGGGGAGCAAACAGG